CUCCUGGAAACGGGUGGUAAUGCCGGAUGCUCCGCCCCCUCGCAUGGGGGGUCGGGAAGGCUUUUGCGGAAUGGGAUGGGGUCGCGUCCUAUCAGCUUGUUGGCGGGGCGACGGCCCACCAAGGCUUCGACGGGUAGCCGGCCUGAGAGGGCGACCGGCCACAUUGGGACUGAGAUACGGCCCAGACUCCUACGGGAGGCAGCAGUGGGGAAUAUUGCACAAUGGGGGGAACCCUGAUGCAGCGACGCCGCGUGCGGGAUGGAGGCCUUCGGGUCGUGAACCGCUUUUGAUUGGGAGCAAGCGUGAGUGAGUGUACCUUUCGAAUAAGCACUGGCUAACUACGUGCCAGCAGCCGCGGUAAUACAUAGGGUGCAAGCGUUGUCCGGAAUCAUUGGGCGUAAAGGGCUCGUAGGCGGUUCGUCGCGUCCGGUGUGAAAGCCCAUCGCUUAACGGUGGGUCUGCGCCGGGUACGGGCGGGCUUGAGUGCGGCAGGGGAGGCUGGAAUUCCCGGUGUAACGGUGGAAUGUGUAGAUAUCGGGAAGAACACC
rnacentral:rRNA from 1 species